CUUUCACACACCUCUGAGGUCAGGUGAUGGAGAGAGCACUGAAAUCCCCUCUGCAUCAAUGUAGCCCCAGGUGCACCAUCAGUGUCUCAAAAAUCAGGUGCUUAACCCUGGAUCAGGGGUCAGUACAACAGGAACUGUGUGGCUCACUGACAGUGGGGAGCAUAGAUGGAAGAUAGAAACAUUUUAAGCCCUGGAUGAGAAUUUCCUUGCAUGCUAAAUCUUGUAACAAACAAUUUUUUUUUAAUAGUUGUACAGCGCCAUUUUAUAAAAAUGGUGUACUUGUAGCACAUUUUUUUCUGGAAUAUAAUUAUUGAUGAAAGGGCUGUGUGAUGGUAUUAAAAGUGUGGCAGGGAGCUGAGGCUGGGUCUGGUGUGACAGUGACCUUAUUCUGACCUUUUCCUUGCAAGACUGAACCAGAGUUUAUGAUGAAAUUUGGUACCAGGCUUUUGACACAGCAGUUUUUUGCGAAGUGCCCCAGACUGAUCUUGAUGUUUAUCACAGAUGUAUUUGCUGUAACCCUGAAUAGCAGGAGCCUUUCAUGGGUACAGAGCCAAGAAACUAUAAUUUCACAAAGUCUGCUAGCAAGAAGUGGAUCCUCAAGAGAUGUGGAUUGCCAAAAUGUGCAAACGCUUCUGUGCAGUUGGCUGCCAUAAAGAAGUGCUUCCAAUCCCUGACAACAGCAGAGCUACAAGUUCAGUUCAGGAGAAACCUGCUAAAGAUUAAAAAGCAGAGAAGCUACCCUUAUAUUCCAGUGAUCCUCAAAAGCUGAAAGAAAGACUUUCCAUAGUAAGUAUACAGUUAUUAUUGCA
rnacentral:lncRNA from 1 species